GCCUCAUUGGCUCAGAGGCAGAGCGUCUGUCUCGUAAACAGAAGGCCGCUGGUUCGAUUAUAGGAUUUGGCA
rfam:Ascaris lumbricoides genome assembly, scaffold: ALTE_scaffold0000193